rnacentral:lncRNA from 1 species
AAUGAUAUAAACUGCGACAAGACCUUCGGCUUGUGGUUCAAGGUCAGUUGCUAGUUCGUUGAUCUUAACUGGUCCAUAGAGGGGAUGAUGGAGGACUUCUGGUAAGAGCCGUCGGUUUUCUUUGUGGAGCUCUCUUGAUUUGACUUCUUUGUACAUGAAAGCCUGGCUGGCAAUCUUGAUCUUUUCUGGUUUUGGGCGCUUCACUUCGACUCGUUUUCUUGCUGGAAGAGAAGGAGGUCAAGUCGUCAUUAAAUGUGAUAAUCCCCUUCGGCCUCCCACGUGGGCUCAGAAAACACGCUUAUCGAUUUUUAACUUGUAGUGCGAGACAAAGGCCUGACUCUUAUGAUUUGGCCCUUCUUAUUGAUUUACUCAAACAGGCCCAGUUGGGAAAAGGAUGGCUUUUAGAAAG